GCAGCGGUGGUCUAAUGGUAUGAUUCUACUCUUCCAAUCGCUUCGAGCGUACACGAUCUUAAGACUAGGCGAGAAUCUUGCCGGGACGGGUGCUUGCACUCUUGAUCUGGUGAGGUGGAGAUGUAGGUUCGAAUCCUACUCGCUGCA